rnacentral:lncRNA from 10 species
GAGCCAGCAUACAUACAGUUCAGAGCUGCUUUAGCCCACCAGGCCAGGGCAGAAGAAGACAAGCAGUGAGGCCAGAGAACUAGAUCUCGAAGCCGGCCCCGAAAGUCUCACCGCCACCGCCAUCACCGCUGCCCCUCGCGGUCCCAGAGCUCGGAGUCCCGCCCCUCAAGCUGUGAGAGCAGGCACCGCGGCCGGUCCCCUGAGGAAGGGCAGAAGUCCCGCCGAAGGCACUCCCGCCGCUGCUCCAAGACCCUCUGCAAGGACAGCCCUGAGGCCCAGUCCAGUCGCCCGCCCAGUCAACCCCUCCAGAUGCUUGGCUACCUGUCAGCCAGGGGUGUACUUUCUCACCUGAGAAAUGGGCAUGAUUAUCCCGCUUGUCUCCCAGGAGGAUUGUGGCAAAGAAGGCAGCUGUUGAGCCCAGUACUUGAUACAGGUGCAAAACUUGACAAAUAAUAUGAUGACAACAUUCCAGAUCCUGGCUCUGCACUUACCAGCUGUGACUCCUUGAGCAAGUUUCUGUGUCUCAGUUUCCUCAAAAACUGCAAAACAAGGAUAGCAAUA